rfam:Ictidomys tridecemlineatus contig087051, whole genome shotgun sequence.
UGAGUUGUGGCUCAGUGGCAGAGCUCUUGCUUUGCACGUGGGAGGCACUGGGUUCGAUUCUCAGCACCACAU